rnacentral:rRNA from 1 species
GACGGGUGAGUAAUACUUAGGAAUCUGGCUAUUAGUGGGGGACAACAUUUCGAAAGGGAUGCUAAUACCGCAUACGUCCUACGGGAGAAAGCAGGGGAUCUUCGGACCUUGCGCUAAUAGAUGAGCCUAAGUCGGAUUAGCUAGUUGGUGGGGUAAAGGCCUACCAAGGCGACGAUCUGUAGCGGGUCUGAGAGGAUGAUCCGCCACACUGGGACUGAGACACGGCCCAGACUCCUACGGGAGGCAGCAGUGGGGAAUAUUGGACAAUGGGGGGAACCCUGAUCCAGCCAUGCCGCGUGUGUGAAGAAGGCCUUAUGGUUGUAAAGCACUUUAAGCGAGGAGGAGGGUACUGGUAUUAAUACUACCAGGUACUGGACGUUACUCGCAGAAUAAGCACCGGCUAACUCUGUGCCAGCAGCCGCGGUAAUACAGAGGGUGCGAGCGUUAAUCGGAUUUACUGGGCGUAAAGCGUGCGUAGGCGGCUAAUUGAGUCGGAUGUGAAAUCCCCGAGCUUAACUUGGGAAUUGCAUUCGAUACUGGUUAGCUAGAGUGUGGGAGAGGAUGGUAGAAUUCCAGGUGUAGCGGUGAAAUGCGUAGAGAUCUGGAGGAAUACCGAUGGCGAAGGCAGCCAUCUGGCCUAACACUGACGCUGAGGUACGAAAGCAUGGGGAGCAAACAGGAUUAGAU